rnacentral:rRNA from 1 species
GACGAACGCUGGCGGCGUGCUUAACACAUGCAAGUCGAACGGAAAGGCCCUGCUUUUGUGGGGUGCUCGAGUGGCGAACGGGUGAGUAACACGUGAGUAACCUGCCCUUGACUUUAGGAUAACUUCAGGAAACUGGGGCUAAUACCGGAUAGGAGCUCCUGCUGCAUGGUGGGGGUUGGAAAGUUUCGGCGGUUGGGGAUGGACUCGCGGCUUAUCAGCUUGUUGGUGGGGUAGUGGCUUACCAAGGCUUUGACGGGUAGCCGGCCUGAGAGGGUGACCGGCCACAUUGGGACUGAGAUACGGCCCAGACUCCUACGGGAGGCAGCGGUGGGGAAUCUUGCACAAUGGGCGGAAGCCUGAUGCAGCAACGCCGCGUGCGGGAUGACGGCCUUCGGGUUGUAAACCGCUUUCGCCUGUGACGAAGCGUGAGUGACGGUAAUGGGUAAAGAAGCACCGGCUAACUACGU